CAGCCGAGGCGGGCGGGGCAAAGCCCGCGGGGCGGCCAUGACGGAAACUUGCCCGCGCGCCGCGCCGUGACAGCGGCAGGGGCUCGGCCCGCCGGCACCAUGCAGGCGGCGGCAGCGGAGGAGGAGGAGGAGGCGGCGGCGGUGCGGCGGAGGAAGCUGGAGGCCGGCAGAGCCAAGUUUGCUUACUUCAGACAACGAAAAACAAAAGGUGACAUCGCGCAGUCGCAGAAAAAGACGGCGAAGAGGAAGGGCUCGUCUGUCCACACGUAUGACGUUCCGCAGGAAGAGCACGCACUAGUGGCCCAAGGCUGUGACUCUCCAGAUGUUGGUAAUAGUAUAGAGAAUAAGGCUGCAGACACCAACCUCCUAGAGACAACAACAGAAACAGAGAGGAGUGCUGAUAUGUCCAUCCAUGAUGCAGUGAAUGAUCAUGCUGCUGAAAAAGUUACAAUAAAUUCUGCACCAGAAUGCAGUGAGCUUGAUGCUAAGAUGUGUCAAACUAAAAUAGCUGAGUUAGAGAACAGGCUUCUGGAGAAACAGGAAGCAGUUGAAAGGCUCACUGCACAAAUGGAUGAACUACAGGAACAGCUUACCCAGCAGAGAGACUCUAUGCAGCUCCAGGAAACAACUGUUCGAGAGCAAAAUGAAGUCAUAAGGAAACUAACAAGCUGCCUUCAACAGGCAAAGAAGGAUCAAAAUGACCUACAAGAAGAGGCUUCACAUGUAGCUGAGCAGAUCCAUGACUUACAACUUCAGUUACAUCAGGUUAAUGAGAUGCUAAAGAGUAAAAGCCCUGGGAAGAAAGAGGUAUUAGAAGCCCAGCAGCAGAUGUCCUUGUUUCAAAACCACCUUAAAGAACAAAAUGUACACUUGGAGAUGCUGUGUCAGAGAGCACAGGACCUAGAGGCACAGCUUGAGUCUUCUCAGAAGAAUACCAAAGAUAAGGAAAAUCUGCUUGCUCUAAUGGAAGAGGGUAUGAAAGAUACAAUGCAGCAGCUAUAUGAAAGCAUGGGAGAAAAAGAACAACACAUUAAAAAUCUUCAGGAUCCACUAACAUCAGAAAGAUUUAACUUGUCUGUAUUACAACAUACUCUUUCUCUCCGGGACUCAGAAAUAACAGAAUUAAAAAAUGAAAUAAUGUUAUUAAAAAUGAAAGAACAGCAAUGUACUGAAGAACUGAAAAUGCAUCAUGAAAAGGAUAUUUGCAGACAGUUGGAGAACUUGAGGGCUGAGCUAGAGAAAUGCCACAGAAAAGAGAUGGCAGAAACCAAGCAGUCAUAUGAAGAACAAAUGAUUUUAAAAUAUAAAAAUGACCUUGAACAGUUAAAAAAAGAACUCUCUGCUCUGAAUUCUGAAGAACACAUUCAGAAUUUGAACAGCAUAAUAAUUGACUUAAAUAACAGUCUUCAUGAGUCUGAAAUUCAUAAAGAAAAUCUGAGGAAGAAACUUGAAAACCAGCAGGAAAAAUUCCAGAGAGAGAAGACUGAAACUGAGGUUCAAUACAAAAUGUUAAUUGAUAUUCUUAAGUCUCGUCUUUCUGAGGCGGAAGAGCAGGUCAAGGAAGCCCAGCAAUAUAAACUAGAAAAACAGCACUUGAAUGAAGAGAUUCAGGAACUGGAUUCACGCACCCAGGAAUUACAUAAAAAGCAUUUUUUUGAGGCUGGAAACAGUGCAGAUGCAAGGCAAGAGUAUAAUGAAGAGAUUGUCUCCAAUAAAAACCUGAUGUUGAAGGAAAAACACAUUUUACCAGAUGCUUCACUCUCUACAGCUCCAAUACCUGAAGAGAUACUGAAUAAAUCAUGUCAGUUCAAAGGUGAAGAAGAGUUUGUUCCUGAAGAACUAGAGUUCCAGUGUGAACUGGAAGUAGACUCAUCAAGAGGUGAAUCAAAAGAAAUAAUGAGUUCAAGGAUCGAAGAAAAUGAAAGUAAUGCAGGAGUUUACCUGUCUGAAGAACAAUUGUCAGAACCUGGGUUUUUCACUGAUGAAGACAUGUUGGCUAAAUAUCUCGUCUCUACAGAAAUACCAGAGCAGUCAUAUGUGUCAUACAGUUCUGAAGGUUAUGCCAUUGAAGAAGAUAGAUGCAGUAGGUUAGCCAGUAGUAGAUCAGACAGUAAUGUGCUUUUAGAACCCAGCAUGGAUUUUAAACCUCCUCUAUUAAACUUUGGUCUUGAUGAAAAAACAUGUCAUAGGAGUUUGGCUCAAGAGACUUUUGAAAAAACAGAGGUGGAAGUAGAGGACUUCAUUUCAUUUUUGCCAGUUGGCUCCCUGCAGCAAGACAAACUAAGUAACUGUGAUGUUGUAAAGGAUGAUGAGAGUGCUUCACACAUCUGUCUACUAAACAAGCUAACCAAACAGCUUCAUGAAAAGGAGUCAGCCUUGAAAAAAUCUCAUCGGGAGAUCCAAGAAGCUGCUGGAAAAUGGAAAAAAGUAAUAGCUGAGCUCUCUCUUAUGCAUGUGGAACUGAAUAAAGAACGUGAAGCACGGGUCUGUUGUGAAAAGCAACUUCUUCAGAAAACAGAGAAGGAGAAAGAACUUGAAAACAAAAUAAGCCACUUAAUAAAUCAGCAGGGCGAGAAUGGAGGCCAACCUUACCAUGCUGUGGAGCUUUUAACACAAACAUCAAAAUCCUCUACCUGGCAACAAAUCCUGAGAGACCUCCAGGAAGAAAGAGAAAUGUUGAUGGUGCAGCUGCGAACUCAGGAACAAUUAGUCAAAGAAGUACAAGAGCAGAAAACAGCUUCUGAUUCUGUAACAAGUGAAGUACAGUCUCUUUUUGGACGUCAAUUGGCUGUUCUGCAAAGUCAAAGGGAUCAAAUGCAGACCCAGCUUGAUGCUCAGAAGGCUAAAAAUCUGACAAUAACAGAGCUGCUUGGUCAGAAAGCUGUACUUGAAGAGUCAUUGCUAAAAGAACAGGAUCUGCUCAAAGCUGAAAUCAGUAACAAAGAACAAAAUUUAGCGCUCUUAUUGAAGGAAAAAACAGUGUUGGCUGAGAGAUUAUCAUCUAUGGAGAAAGAUCUAAUAAAAGCAGAGAAUGCUUCAGCAGCAAAUGCUAAUGUUAUAGCAGAUCUUGAGAAAAACAUACAUGAACUUAAUACUGAAGUGCAAAACCUCAAAGAGGUACGGGAGCGUGAAAGAUUGGGAUAUGAGGACAAGUUGAACUUGAAUAAUGCAGAAAUUAAUAAACUUAAUGCUGAAAUAGAGGCAAAAAGUACUGAAUACAAUGUGAAAGAAAGCCAGCUAAUUGAAGAAAUAGCUCAUUUGAAGAAGGUUCAGAGGGAGCUUGAAUAUCGCUUGCAGGAGUCCUUUCAGUCUGCACAAGCUGUGCAGGAGGCACAAUCUGAGAUGGUGAGACAUUACAAAGAGGAAAUUGAUAAAAUGGAGUCUCAGCACCUUGUGGAAUUAACUAAAGUGAGUUUGACACACAAGAAGGAGAUAGAAGAAUUAAAUAAUGAAAUAAAAGAUAAAGUUGAAAAGCAGCAGAAGUUGGAGGAAGAAAGAAAAGAACAGCUUGCUUUAAUAAAAAAGGUACAUGAACGAGAGCAUGAACGUGAAAUCUCUGAACUAAUUACUAAGCAUGAAGAGGAAAUGGAGGAGCUCCGUGCUUCAUUAAAUAGAGAACAGCAACACCUGUUGGAUGAACUUCAGCAACAAAUGGCAGCCACACACAAAGCAGAGAUUGAGCAAGCCCAGCUCCAGUCACAGACACUGCACAGUCUUGAAUUGGAAGCUUUACGCCUAAGCUUAAAUAAUAUGCACACCUCUCAGCUUGAGCUUACUCAGUCUAACUUGAGAAAAGAAAAGGAAACUGCACUUGUGGAGCUACGGGAGAUGCUCAAUGAUAAGCGUGCUCAGGAAGUAGCAAUUCUACAAAGCCGACAUCAGCUGGAGUGGGAGAAGAUUAAAGAACAGUGCUUGAAGGAAAAAGAAGACCUUAAGUCAAAGUAUCAGCAAGAACUAGUUGAUCAAAGAAAGAAAAUAGAAAUGGAAAUGGAAGAGAAACAUAUCCAGAUAUUAGAGACUAUCAAAAGAGACUGGGAAUUAGAGUCUGAGGUGCGUUUAGAAAACGUGUGUGAAGAGCUCUCUGAAAAACAUCAGACUGAAAUGGCAGAACUGCAGAAAACUCUGGAAAUGGAAUUAGAAAAGGUCAAAGCAGAGCUGGGGCUUCUUUCUCUUGAGAAGGAACAGUCUGAAUUAAAAUGUAUAGAUCUUGAGAAACAACACCAGUUGGCCAUCACAAAGUUACAUGAACAGCUGCAGACUGAACAUAACCAACUCCUAGAAGAUAUAAAGAUGAAAAGCCAAGAAAAAGAACAGAAUCUUCAGAAGGAGCUGGAAAAACUUCGUAUCAUGCAUGAGGAAUUCAAGACUCAGUCACAAGAAGAAGUCAGGCAGCUUUGGUCUCAACUUGACAGUACCCGAGCAAAUCGGCAGGAAUUGAGUGAUGGUGAGUCCAAGAUGGAAGCCCAUGUUCCAGGUGAGGAAUUAAGAGAGCAGCUCCUGGCUCGUGCAUCACGGGUGGAAGAAAUAGAGCAUUUAAAACAAGAAUUUGAACAGCAGCGUCAGCAAAGAAAAAGUGAGCAUGAGACUGAAUUAGAACAGUUGAGACUUUACUUUGAACAAAAGUUAAGAGUUGCUGAAGAAAACUAUAGAGAAGAGUUGACUUUCUUGCAACAGAGACUGGAAGAACUGAAAGAAUAUUCCUUGUCAGAGGAGGCAGUCAUGAGCCAGGAUCAAUCAGGGGGUGUCAGUUCUGUCACAGUUUUUGGAGAGACUGCUGAGAAAGAGAGGAGAGAUCUUUAUCUUCAUCAGCUAAAUCAACAGGUGGAGCAGCAUAAGGAGGAACUUGCCUAUUUGCAGGUACAGCUUAAAGAACAGCACAAACAUGAAUUAGAUUCCUUAAGGUCUUCCCUUGCACUUCAAUAUAAAGAGGACCUAAUGAAAAUGAAGAAGGAUCUGUCAGGCAAAUAUAUAGUAGAAAUAGAGGAAAUGAAAAGAAAGCAUUGUUUGGAACUUGAGCAGCUCCGUGCUAGGCUUUCAGACGAACAUAUCAAAGAAAUCACCAAAUUACGCCUACAGAGUGCUCAAGAUGCAGCACGUCAAGUUGAAAUGGAGGUGGCCACACGAGUGUCUGCGCUGGAGGAAGAGCACAAAGUCAAGCUUUCUCUCUUCCACUCUGAGAAACAGUAUAUUGCAGAGCUUUCAGAUGAAAUAAAGUGUUUAAAGGAAGAGAUUGCUAAACAAAAAGAUUUUUCAGUGCAGAAUGAAAAGCAUCUGAAAAGGGAAAUGGAACAGGUAAAAUAUAAAAUUGCUGAGAAUCACAAGAAUGAAUUAAGGGAAGCCAGAGAAGAAAUCCAGAAGAUAGAGACUACGUACAAAGAAAAAGAGAAGAAAUGGAAACAUGAAAGUGAGGACCAGAGAAUCCAAGCAGAAGAGAAAUUGUCAUUGUUGCGUAUAGAACUGCAAAAUAGAUUAGAAUGUGAGAAACAGAAUUUGCAAAAGGAAUUUGAAGUUCGUGAAGCAGAAAUGAAUCGGCUCCAAGAUUACCAAGCUGCCAGAAUUGUAGAAUUAGAAAAGUUAGUAAAAGAGCAGCAAAACAACUUGCAACAACUAGAGGACAGCCUUGCAAGUGCACAGGCUACACAGAAAUCACAGGAACAAUAUGAGAGUGAUCUGCAGGCAGCCAGAGUGCUCAUGGAAGAAGAAAUGGAAAAGGCCAUGCUUUGUCUACAGGAAGAAUGUGCACUGAAACUUAUGGAAGCACAAAACAAAUUUAUGGAGGAACACAAAACUAUGACUCAGAAAUUCACUACUGAGCAAGAGAUUCUUCUCCAAGAGCUGAAGAAGAAACAUGUUGAUGAGCUAGAACUCCAAAGUCAGCAGUUACAGGAAAAGCAUAAGCAGCAAAUUUCAUCUCUUACAACUGAGUUUCAGACAAAGCACCAAGCUGAAAUUGAGAUGCUUAAAUCUACAUUAGAAAGUAAACAUCAGAUUCAGAUUGAAGCUUCUGUUGCUGAAAUGCAGAAAAAACAUCAAGCACAAAUUGAUGAACUGGAGGCUAAACACUUAUCAAACCUGGAUUCCUUGGAGUCAUCCUACCUGUCAGAAAUUCAGAAUAUAAGAGAUGAACAUAGGCAGGUUCUUGAGAAGCUACAGCUGCAUCACACAGAACAGUUCCGUGAAAAGGACAAAAUGGAUCAAGCGCACUUGGCUCAAGAGAUAGAGAUGUUGAAACUAAAGUAUGCUGAGGAACUUCAGCUUGCACAGAACAAUUUAAAAAUUGAGCUAGCUACUGUGCAUAUGGAAAAACUUAAAAUUAUGGCUGUGGAAGCAGAAGAAUUUCAUAAGAAUGAUUUGAAAACAGCUCUUCAAAAUCAAAGAUGUUUGUUGGAAGAAGAAAAAGAUCUAGCCCUGGAUAUAUUACGUGAGGAAGUAGUGCGUAUGGAAGAAAAACAUAGAAAGGCACUACAAGAACUACAGGAUCUUCACGAGACAGAAAUUAAGAAACAUAAGGAGGAAUACUCCAGGGAGUUGGAGAAAGAACUGGGGAAACUAAAAGCACAGCAUGAACGUGAACAAGAGAUAUAUGCUUCUGCCUCGGCCUCCGAAGUAGAAAAUGUGAGGACAGCUCUUCUGUCUCAGUUUGAGGAAGUAAAAAUGAAGCAACAGCUUCAGUUCCAGGAAGAGAUUGAGCUGCUGAAGUGUCAGUCAGAAGUACUACUUGAGCAGCAAAUUGCACAGCUGAAGGAGGAAUUUGAAGCUGAAAAAACAGCAUCACUACAUGAGAAGGUGCAGGUGUUAACUCAGGAGAGGGAGAAGGCACUGGCUGUUUCCCAAAAGGAGAAGGAGACGUUAUCAGCACAGCUGCAGGAAAAAGCAGCAAGAAUUAUCCAGCUGGAAAAGGAAGUUGAAUCUUUAAAUCAUAAGAUAGAGGAGACCCACUGUGAGCUGGAGACACUUCUACAGCAGCGGGACAGAGAGAACCAAGAAGGAGGGAAUUUAAUAGUCAUGUUGAGGUCUGAUAUUGAGCAGUCCAAGGAUGAAAGGAAAAAAAUGCAGGAAUCUUACCAGCAUAUUUUGAAAUUGCUUAUGGAGUUGGUGAAGGCUACACUAGCUAUUGAGGACCUUAUCUGUAGCAAGAUUGGUCUUUGCCUUGAUGACAGUUUGGCUUCUGGAGAUUCUAGGGAAAGUCACAGUAUUAUGGAAGAAAUGGGAUUUGCACAAUAUCUUAAAACCAAAGAGAAGCAUCACCUAGAAAAAUUAGAUGAACAGCUUGAUGAAACUCUCACAGAACACAACGAGCUGUCUCCAGUGACUGAAGAGGGGUCUGAGUUGAGCCAAUACUUAUGUGAAAGUGUUUUUGUGAAGCCAGAAAUGGCAUGUGAAAAUGAAGAAAUGAUAAUGAAAAUUAGUCAUCGUUUGCGCACUGCAGUGGAAAAACUUUUGGAACUUGUUGCAGAAUCAACUAAAGAACUGGAGAAAAGGCAUGAAAUCCAUGCACAAUUUGAAGAUGAAUUCAGCCGCCAAAAUCAGGAGACUGCUCAAGUGGUUAGUCAGCACCAAGAGCUAAUGGAGUGCCUAACCGAGGAAAGUGAGGCCAAGAAUCAGCUGGCACUAGAACUUCAUAAAGCAGAGGGCAUCAUUGAAGGCUACGUUGCAGAAAAAGCCGCAUUGGAGGAGGCUUUGAAUCUGAAAGAAGAAUCUGAGCGUCGCCUUGUUGUGGAGCUGGAGAAUAUGCGUGAACGCUUCCAGGAGCUAACCCAGGAGCAGGCAAUUCUUGGUCUACUCAAGGAAUUAGAACUUUUAGCAAAGGAGAAAUUAGAGCUUCAGUGUCAGGCAGAGAAGGACCAUUCCAACUUACGCUCUCAAAUGAAAGUUUUGGAGGUAGAACUAGAAGAACAGCUGCAUAGUAAUCAAGACCUGGCUAAGCAGUUAUUGGAGGUUGCUGAAUUAAAACAGCAAAUUCAAGUCCUUGAAAAACAGCUUAAAAAACAGCGGCAAUUCAUGGAUGAACAAGCUAUAGAAAGGGAACAUGAACGUGAUGAUUUUCAGCAAGAAAUUCAGAAGCUGGAAGAACAGUUAAAACUUUCAGCAAAAUUGCAGACUUCUGGAGAGCUGAGAAAGUAUGGGAACUAUGAAUUGAUUCUACAGGUAGACUCUCUGCAAGCAGAAAUAAAAGAGAAAAUGGAUGAUUACAAUAAGCUGUUAUUAGAAAAGGAGGAAAAGCAUCAAGAAAUCAUAGCUCGUGAUAAAGAGAUAGAAAAACUGCUGGCACAAGUACAAGAACUGGAGCAGAACAGUACUGAAGUCUCAAAGACUGUUAACUGCUUGGAGCAACAACUACAGAAAAUGAAGAAAGUAGAAACCGAAUUAAAACAGGAUAAAGAAGCAUUGCAACAGCAGCAGUACAAUAACCUUAUUCAGAUCUCUGCCCUACAAUCUAAAUUGGAUGAAGCAAGGCACAGAGUACCCACAGAAGGCACUUCUGACCAAGGGCUGAAGGAACAGUUACAGGCAGAACAGGAAGCACUUGAGAGGAAAGAGGGAGAGAUUGCAAGCUUGUUAGAGCAACUAGAUCAAUAUAAAGAUAAAUUGACCAGUAAAAAUGAGGAGAUAUUGCAGCUGAACUUGCAGCUAGAGGUGCAAAAAAAUCUUAGCACCUCCAGCAUCAGUCAACUUCAGCUAGAGAAUGCAUACUUGAAGGAGGAUCUAACAAAACUUCACGUAAAGCAAAAUCAUGACUUAGGUGUUAGCGAUACUUCAGCUCUGUCAUUCCCACAAGCACUACUUAAAGAAAAGAAUCAAGAAAUUGAUCAUUUGAAUGAACAAAUGAAAAGACUCAAGCAUGAGCUAGAGAACACUCUGGAGAAUACGGUUGUGGAAAACCAAAAAUCUGAAAUCGAAGAACUCAGAUCUCUUAUUGAGCACCUUCGUAGUGACCAGGAACGGCUGCGUAAGGACAAGGAUGAAGAGGCAGAGCAACUUCAUGGAGUAAUUGAGAAGCUUCAAAAAGAGUUGGCACAGUUUGGACCAGUAUGCCAUGAAGUUAGUGACAACCAAAGUGAUCUUUAUCAACUUGGAUUGGAAAAAUCAGUGGAAGACCUUCAGAAUGAAUUGAAGGGAUUGACAGGUUGUCAGGGUGAUACUGAUCUGGACAGAAGAAAUGCGUUACUAAUCACCAAUGUGAGAGAACUUCAGGAAAAGCUAGAGCUUGUCUCAACUGCUAGAGAAGCUCUGCAGCAGCAAUUGGAAGACAAAGAAUCACAGUUGAAAAUGGAAGUAGAAAUUUUAGAGAGAAAAUGCCAAAAUGCACAGGAGUCAUCAAAGCAACACUUUGCAGAACUAACCUCUCUAAGAAUACAGUACAGUGCACUUCAGGAAGAAUACAGCCUUUUCCAAAAACGUGCAUCUCAGAGAGAGGUUGAAGCAAGAAUUACUACUUCUCGCAUUCAAGAACUUGAAGAAACUCUGAAAGAGAGGGAAGCAAGUAUUCUAGAAAAAGAUACACAGAUGAAGAUAAUGGCAGAUCAAAGAGAAGCUGACAAAAAUGAGUUGCAAUACUUAACAAAACAAGCAGCAGAACUUGAAACUGAGUUGAAAAAGAAAGAUGCAAAUCAGGCUCAAGAUGUUUACAGUCUUCAGUUAGAAGUUUCUAGACUUGAUUUUCAGGUGCAAACACUGAAUCAGAAAGAAGCAGCUAAUCAGAGAGAAAUCAAUGAACUGCGAGGUAGCACUGCAAAAUUGAAAGAUCAGAUCAAGGCAUACGUGAAAGAGCUUGAAGCCUUACAAUUGGAAAGAGAUGAACUUAUUUCACAGUUGAAGUUGUUCAAGUCAAAGGAGCAAUGUAAUAAUGAAGAGGCUAACUUUCUCAAGGUGUCCUGCCAAGGAGGAAGAAAAGAUGAAGCGCUUAAAAAAGGAAUGGAGGAGUUGGAAGGAGUGGAAGUUUAUGUUGAUCAGUCACUUCCAGUUUUGCUUUCCCCAGUUGAUAUACUGGAAAAAGAUGAAGUUAUGUUUGACUCUGUGACUCACAACACAAAUAUAAAAUCUCAAAUUAAACAAUCACAGGAAGAUAUCUCAGCUCAGGAAAUGGACAUGAUGAACAGCUCUGAAGAGCAGAAAAAUUUGAAAAAGCAUUGCCAACUAACAUUGAAAAAUGAUCGAAGUCCUGAUUCUCCAAAAAACAAUUUGAACAUCUGCUAUACUAAAGAUACUCUGAAAGAUUUCCAGGAUUUCAUUGUGGAUAUGGCUUCAUGGGGUUCACCUGAGAUUGUGAGGAAGGAGGAUACAAGCGUGGAACUUGAACCAGUGCUUCAUGUGACACCCUUUUCAGAAGCUGAAAGCACAGAUUUUCAAGUGGUACACGUUAGGUCAUCGCUUCAAGGAGAUAAUUCUCUCUUGAUGGGAUUUUCUAACCUGUAUGAAAAUGGCAGUGAAGAAGCAGUGGUGGAAGUAGAUGUAAAAUCUCCAGUUUUCUCUGAAAGUACCUAUUCUGUUGAUGAUGAUGAACAUGUUAUCGAGAAAAAUAUUUUGCAGAUGAGAGAAGCGGAUAAUCUAACCCCAUCUGAUUUGCAAGAUGACAUAAGAUCAAGAGUCUCUGCCACAGAUGUGAUGAGCAAUGAAUACCACAGCAGUACCAGCUCAAAUUUGGCAGCUAAACUAAAGCAGGAUCUACAGCCAUCAGACCACCUAGAUGCUAGUUUCAUGGCUUACAUGCAGUACCGUGGCAUGUUUUCAGAUGUUAUGGAAUCAAUGAGAGAGAAGGAAUUAUUUUCACCGCAGCUGAAGACUGUGCUGAAGAUGGUAUAUGAGGAGAGCUGCAAAAUAUUGGCUUUGUCAGAACAUUCCUUUGGUUUUAAGGAGCAGAAAAAUGUUCAUCAGACCACAGCAAUGAUGGAGGGAUGGCAGAAGGAGGGCUUCGCCUUGUUGGAUGCUAUACAGUCACUGAAAGAUUAUCUUAGCAAUGUGGCAGAUAGAGGAAACAAGGAACAUUCAGAUAUUGCUGCUGACUGGAGAGCAGAAUUUCUCCAAGCAGUACAGAGUGUGUUUGAGAAGGAGAGAAAUGUGUUGCAAAUUGACUUGAAGUCUCACUUCUCCAAUCCUGGGUGGGGCGAUGAAGUUUCAUUAGCGGAAAGACUAGAGUAUAUCAUGAAACAACAAGAGGAACAGAGGCAGAUGGUUGUAGAACAUCUUUUCUCUUCAGACCGGAAUAGCUUGCUCUCUGAGAUACAGGACCUUCGAGCUCAGCUACGCAUGACACACCUUCAGAACCAGGAGAAGCUGCAGCAGUUACAGGAAACUCUUACAAAUGCAGAAGAUCAUGGGAGCAAACAAGAACACCAGCUUCGGAGGAAAGUUGAAUUAUUAGAAUAUAAACUUCAGCAGGAAAAAUCAAUUGUAAGUGACUUGCACAGCUCAUUGUCUGAGGAGCAGAAGAGAGUCUCUGAAACAAAUGAACUCUUGAAUCAAGAAAAAGCAGCAGCAUCAGCCGUGAAGUUAGAGCUAUAUGAACAUAAGCAAGAGAAUGAAAGGCUACAAAAAUCCCUAGAAGAGCAUCGGAGGGAAAUAAACAAGUUCCGUUUUGAAUUGGAAAAUAAAGAAAAGGAUUUGACAGCCGCUCUCCAAGAAUUGCAAACUGAACGCCUGACAGAAACAGAGCUGCGAGGCUUGUAUGAGGAACAACAGUUUCAGCAUAAGAAAGCAGAAGAUGAAAAUAAAAAGGCCUUGGAGGAUUUGCAGGCUGCCUUGGAGCUGCAGUCAAUGCAGAAUAGCCAGCUGUCUGUAUCCUUAGAGCAUGAGCAAAUGAUAAAUGAUAAUCUCCGCAAGGAACUUCAGAUAGAACAUUCACGCUGUGAAGCGUUGUUGUCUCAAGAACAAAAAAAAGUGUCAGAGCUACAGAGAAAUUUGGAAGCUGAGAAAAAUCGUUCAUUGGAGCUCUUGAAUUCCUUGAAUCAUGAACGUGUUUUGACAGAACAGUUGAGCAUGAGAGCUAAGGAGGACGCUUCUUGUCAGCACAGGGCAUCACUGCUGGAACAAGCCUUUAUCCGAGAGCUUCAAGCCAAGCUGGAAGAAGAGAGGUCCCGAACAACAGAGCUCGUUGCUAUUAUUGACGAAAUACACCAGAAGGCUGUUCAUUCUAAAAGGCAGCUAGAGGCUGAAGUACGGAUGUGUUGUGAAGAAACACAGAAGGAGAGAGAGAUCAGUAACAAACUACAAGCUACAAUGGAGUCUCUUCAGAGUCAAAAGCAAGAGGUAAUCCGCUCCCUAGAGGCCCAGAAGGAACGAGAGGCAAAGCUGAAAGCUGAUUGGGAACAAUUACAGUUAGUCUUUGAGACAAUGCAAGAACAAGAUAACAAGAAAGAGGAGAAAGAGCAAAGGCAGCAGCAGCAACAAACAGAAAUUGAAAAAGAGACGGACAGGCAGAGAGAUCAAAAAAGACUGCAAAAUUUGGAACUGCAACACCAGAGGGAUGAACAAAAAAUUAAAGAGCUGCAAGGAAUACUGGCAGUAUUAGAGUUAAGAGAAAGUCCUUCGUCUUCCAACAAUCAUCAAGAAGUAUCGUGUGCUUUAAACAAAGACCAAAAUGCCAAACAGUGCAUGACAAAAGAAAGUGAAAAACUGAACUUGCAACAGCAGCAACAACAGCUGGAGAAGAUAAGACAGCAGUUGCUUUUUGUAGCUGCAUGUCUGAAUGAGUUCAUAUAUAAAACAGUAGAUAAAACAGUCAAUGAUUGGUCUUCAUCAAAUAAUGAAGCUGUAGCAUCUUUACUGCAGAUGUUAAAGGAACUAAAAUCAGAUUUAUUGUCUCCUCCUGCAUCUCAGAUCAGACCUACAGAUGAUGCUGAUUCUGUUCAACAACUGGAAAGAGAUGCUUGGCAGCAAGAGAGAAGCAUUCUGCAAAAUGCGCUGAAACAGGCAGAGUCUGAACUGGCUAAAGCAACUGCUGAAAUUGAAAACAAACCAGUGGUAGAAACUUCCAGUCCUAAGUUGCAGAAAUUAUAUAGGAAGUACCUAAGAGCAGAGAGCUUUAGAAAGGCUCUAGUUUAUCAGAAGAAAUACCUCUUGCUGCUCCUCGGUGGAUUUCAGGACUGUGAGCAAGCAACCCUGUCUCUAAUAGCACGUAUGGGAAUCUACCCUGCACCUGCAGACCUGCAGCUUUCUGUUUCCCAUUCCCGCCCUUUUACCAAGUUUAGAUCUGCAGUCAGAGCAGUCAUCGCUGUAUCAAGGUUGAAGUUUUUGGUGAAAAAGUGGAACAAACUUAACCGAAAGAGUGCACAGGGUGAAACCAUUCCUCACAGUAUAGGAGGUAAUACAGCCUCUGGUACUAGAACAGAAAUUCUGAAACAGCAGCAGCUCCUAGCUGUUAAUGUCAGCUCUCCCCCAACCCGGGACAGGGGGUUGUGUCACAGAACCAGCUCUGGGAGAUUUUUGAGCCACUCCCCCAGAUCCUCUCACUGGUCACACAACAGGUCAAUUGUCUCCAUCCACAAGUUCAGCUUCGGAAAAGUCAUUUGUGCCUACUCAGGAUCCUGAACGAUCACUAACAGAAUAUAUCCAUCGCUUGGAGGUUAUCCAGCAAAGACUAGGAGGUGUGCAACUAGGAAAAGUUCCAGGCCCACCUCGCCAGAGAAACAUGAAAAAGUGAUCCGAAUGCUUCUGAAAUCUGUACUGCAAAACCUCCUAGUUAUUGAUUCCUUCUGAGUUAUUCCCUAGCGAAUGGAAGCACUUAUCUCUUGUGCAAAUGAAUAAAGGGCAGUGCUUUUGCAUCAGAUUUUUAUAUGACUUUUUAUUAUAUUUUAGUACUUUUAAGAGGAAACUACUUUUCACUAAGAACAAUGUUUUGCAUUGUCAUAUGGAAUUACUACUAAGUUAAUAGCUGAAGUGUGCUGGCAUAACUGUAUUGUCAGUUGUCUGUUUAUUUUUCUAUAGUGUAUAGCUGGAUUCUUUGUUUAAAAAAAAAGUUAUUAAAAUGGCAUUUUAUUAGUGAA